CCCUUAGAUGUCCUGGGCCGCACGCGCGUUACACUGAUGCAUUCAACGAGCUUAUAACCUUGGCCGAGAGGCCUGGGCAAUCUUGUUAACGUGCAUCGUGAUAGGGAUAGAUUAUUGAAAUUAUUAAUCUUGAACGAGGAAUUCCUAGUAAACGCAGAUCAUCAAUCUGCAUUGAUUACGUCCCUGCCCUUGUACACACCGCCCGUCGCACCUACCGAUUGAGUGGUCCGGUGAGGCUUUGGGAUCUGAGCGGAAAGAGCGUUUCGCUGUUUCUGCUCGGAAAACUCAGUCGAACCUUAUCAUUUAGAGGAAGGAGAAGUCGUAACA
rnacentral:rRNA from 1 species